UACGUAGGGAUCGAGCGUUGUCCGGAAUCAUUGGGCGUAAAGAGCGUGUAGGCGGCUAUUUAAGUCCUGCGUGAAAUCCUGCGGCUCAACCGCAAGCGGUCGUGGGAAACUGGGUGGCUAGAGUGCGGGAGAGGAGAGUGGAAUUCCUGGUGUAGCGGUGGAAUGCGCAGAUAUCAGGAAGAACACCCGUGGCGAAGGCGGCUCUCUGGAACGCAACUGACGCUGAGACGCGAAAGCGUGGGGAGCAAACAGG
rnacentral:rRNA from 1 species